GCGUUAAUGGCGGCCAACAUCGCCGGUGCUGCGGCUUUCUCCCUAAAGUGUCACAGGAGCUAAGGGCGCUGCUUAACGAACUGCAGAAGACGCAGGCAGGUGAAGGACACCGGUUCUGCUGCGGCAGUGGAAUGUGGCGGAGAAGCUGGCGGGUAGGGCGGGGAGCAAGCCUGGAGGUCCUGGCGGACCCCACCAUUCGACAGGGCUUGGUGUGUUAUUGCUUCUAGGCCUUUUCAGCGGACAGAACUGGGAUGGAUACACACAUGCUUAUUUGAAAUCAUGCGUUUGUUCCAUACUCCAAUGUCAGCCCACCCCUUCUUUGCCCAAGUUGCUCUAUGGUCAAGUGAGCGAGAGCAGGUGCCUGCAUUUCCAGCCUCGUGGCUCACCGCCUCCUUCCAGUAGUCCCAUGUUGCUUCACACCUCUUAAGUACAUGUACUUCUGUGAACCCAGAGCCUUGGCUUUGAAAUCAGACAACCCCAGUUUCAAACGUGGCGCUGCCACUCACGAGUUUUGUGAUUUUGGCAUACCCCUGUCUGCAUGGGGAUAAUAACUUCUAUCUCCAUAGGUGUGGUGAGGAUAAAAGUCUAUGCAUGGAGGAAAUGUUCAUUCAGUGGUAGCUAUUUCUAAUUCUGUUCUUCUGGACCUAUGAUUCUAUCUACGAUGCCUCAUUUUUUUUCCUUUUUAAUCAAUUGGCAAACUUGUGCUCUGAGACCCAGCUUGUUACAUCUCUGAUGACAGCUGAUAUCCUCAGGAUAUUCCGUACUUCCUUUCUCCCUAUUACUUUACUAUGAAUAUAUGAAUAACAUUGUGCUUAUUGCAUGCAACAAAUAUUUAUUAGAUGAAUGACAUUAAAAUUCACCUUUAAAAUGCCAUCCUUUAUGAGAGGUGAGAAAUAGAACUUUUCCUUCGACAUGGCUGUACAUGUUCAACAACUAGAAUAAAACAGUCAUCAUGAACCCUCAAUCCAGUAUUCUUUUUAUAAUAUAGCUGCCUGUCAGUUUUCACUGUUCUUUUAUUAGACCAGUGAUUUUCAAACCUUUUUAAAGGCAUACAGUGCUUUAUUCAAAUCUAAUCUUAUAUGGAACCCUCAACACAUAAAUAUUAAGAUAAAAAUAAAGCUGCCAUUGUUGCAAUUAGAAGUUUGAGAGGUUAGAAUAGGUAGGAAGUCUCGGAGGAACAUUUCUUCGUUUUACCUGCUUUAACAGUCAGAGAAGUACCUCAGCCAGCAGAAAAAUUUAUUUGUUCAUAAAUUCCUUGAGUAUAGAGUCCGUAUCUUAUUUUUGUGGCCUCCAAUGCUAGUGCUGUGCAGUUUUCUUGAAAGUGCAUUUUAUUGGUCUCAGCAAAUUGAACUCAAGCAUUUCUGUGUUCUUUUACUUUUCCUCUUUGUGGAAUUAAGGGGAUUGCUAAUUUGUAUUUUUAAAGAAAGAACAUUAUUCCGGGCGCGGUGGCUCACGCCUGUAAUCCCAGCACUUGGGGAGGCCAAGGAGGGCAAAUCACCUGAGAUCAGGAGUUCAAGACAAGGCUGACCAACAUGGCAAAACCCCGUCUCUACUAAAAAUACAAAAAUUAGCUGGGCGUGUUGGCACGCGCCUGUAAUCCCAGCCACUCAGGAAGCUGAGGCAGGAGAAUCGCUUGAACCCGGGAAGCAGAGGUUGCAGUGACAGAGAUCGUGCCACUGCACUCCA
rnacentral:lncRNA from 1 species